ACAACUCUAGCGUGGCGGGGGAUCACUCGGCUCGUGCGU
rnacentral:rRNA from 1 species